UACGACGGGGGCUAGCGUUGUUCGGAAUUACUGGGCGUAAAGCGCGUGUAGGCGGGUCUUUAAGUCCGGGGUGAAAUGCCAAGGCUCAACCUUGGAACUGCCUUUGAUACUGGAGACCUUGAGUCCGGGAGAGGUGAGUGGAAUUGCGAGUGUAGAGGUGAAAUUCGUAGAUAUUCGCAAGAACACCAGUGGCGAAGGCGGCUCACUGGCCCGGAACUGACGCUGAGACGCGAAAGCGUGGGGAGCGAACAGG
rnacentral:rRNA from 1 species